rnacentral:rRNA from 1 species
GAUGAACGCCGGCGGUGUGCCUAAUACAUGCAAGUCGUACGCACUGGCCCAACUGAUUGAUGGUGCUUGCACCUGAUUGACGAUGUAUCACCACUGAGUGGCGGACGGGUGAGUAACUCGUAUGUAACCUGCACCAGAGCGGGGGAUAACAUUUGCAAACAGAUGCUAAUACCGCAUAACAACAAAAGCCACAUGGCUUUUGUUUGAAAGAAGGCUUUGGCUAUCACUCUGGGAUGGACCUGCCGUGCAUUAUCUAGUUGGUAAGGUAAUGGCUUACCAAGGCGAUGAUGCAUAGCCGAUUUGAUAGACUGAUCGGCCACACUGGAACUGAGACACGGUCCAUACUCCUACGGGCGGCAUCAGUAGGGAAUCUUC